CGGGGCUGGGGGCGGGGCUGGCGGGCCGUUCGAACGGCGCUGCCGCUGCUGGUGGCGCUCGGGCCGGGCUGCGGGCGUGUGCCCCCGGGCAGCCCAACACAACACAGCCCGGCCCGGCCCGGCCUGGCCUGGCCUCCCUCCUCUCCAGAGUGCCCGAGGGGCUGGCAAGGCUUCCUUCCCGGGGGAACAGGCCGCGCUGCUGCCGCCGGCUCCUCCGCCGCCGCUCCGCGACAGACAAUGGACGAGCAGGGUCCUGGGGAAACGUGGCCCCGCCACACUACGAAGCAGGAGUAUGUUGCCAGGGCAACAGAGUGUAAGCAGGAGCACAGCACCUUGCAGAUCACAAAGGCAAAGCUGCAGAAAGACAUUUCAGCGAGUUUCUCUCUCCCUUUUGCAAUGGCCAGGCUGAGGAGGGAAGAUGUGGAAAGGAAUCGUUGCAGGCUGCAGAAUGGGAGAUGA
rnacentral:lncRNA from 1 species